GCCAACCGCUUGAGGAGCUUCAAACUACCAUCAUGGCUGCAGCUUCCGAAGCGAGAAGGGAAGCAGGAGGGAGCGAGAGGGAGGGAGGAGAGGGAGCCCAGCACCAAAAGGAGGGGAGAGACAGACAGAUAGACAGACGGCCCAGGCGGAGGAGGAGGAGGCGUCCAACCACUCCACCCUUCCUAGCUCCUUCCGCCGCCGCCGCCGCUGACGAAAAAAGUAGUCCCGCACCGCCACAUCACCGCCUCUUCGGCUGCCGCGCCGGCCGAUUCGCUGCUUUUCCCGGACGUCUCCCUUCUCUCUUCUGUCCCUCCUUCUUUGCCAAACCCUGCACGGGAAGCGCCCGACUCGUUCUUCGGGGAAAAGGCCAAGCCCCGAAUUGGGAUCAAAGAGGCGCGGAGUUGAUGUAGAAUGAAGAGCGACAAAAGAAUUCAGUUCCCUUAUGCCAUAGUCCCCUGAUGACAAUCUAGUUCUAGCAUCAAAUGUUGCAAAGCCUCUUUACACGAUGUAUAAUUACUUGGGGUCCUGCAGGAGGUGUCCGUCCUGUCUUCCACCCAUCCCCCCCCCCGCCGGCCUGAGCAAAACUACAAUGCUGAUCCGACCCUCGAAGAAAUCCAGUCUGACACCCUUUCUCUAAAAUAAAGCACAAACCUCA